AGAGAGAGAGGUGAUGAAAUUCUUGGAGGAGAUAUGGGGCUUAGCUUGUAUUUUCUUAACUUGGAGCAAAGUUUUGGAAUCGAGGUAGGGGUUUCUUGGAAUUCUUUACGGGGAUUGAUUUAAUUAAAUUUCGUGAGAAUUAUAUUAUGCGUGAUAUUACAGUUUGGUUGAUAUUAUUUGUUAUUGGGUGUUUACGUUUUGUUAAUUAUCAUUGUAUUAUUUUAUUAAUAAUGACAUGUUCAUAUGUUAUCGGAGAUGGCUGGAAUUCUUGGGUUGAUGAAGAAAGUAUGGAAAAGAGGGUAAUGUAAAUAAUUUUUGUGUGUAGUUGAGUCUAACUCUUGGUAGGUCCCAGAUCUUAAGAUCCCACAGUGCACAUAGUUUUUAUUGGGUGAUGCAGGACUGGCGGCGGGGAGUUAGACAAAAUGACUAACAAAAUGGAGAAAUUAUAGGAUGAUUGAGAUGGGGGUUAGUUCAUAUAAAUGGGCAGGUCUGCUUGUCCAGUUAUAUGAAUUAACGGGAUUAGAUGAAGAGCAUCCAUUCAUUAUUAUCUUUUAUAUGUUAUGUGAUUGUAUGUUUCUUAAUUUAGUUAUAUCAAUUUCCCGUGGUAAGGUCUCAUGUCCCUACUGAAUGGUGGUUGCUCAUCCUUCACCCUGUUUAAUUUUUUAGAUGAAUUAGUGGGUCAGACGAGGAUUAAACCAGUUAAGGCUGAAUUGGAUAAGAG
rnacentral:lncRNA from 1 species